UCGUGAGAUGUUGGGUUAAGUCCCGUAACGAGCGCAACCCUUGUCCUUAGUUACCAGCACGUUAUGGUGGGCACUCUAAGGAGGACUGCCGGGUGACAAACCGGAGGAAGGUGGGGAUGACGUCAAGUCAUCAUGGCCCUUACGGCCUGGGCUACACACGUGCUACAAUGGUCGGUACAAAGGGUUGCCAAGCCGCGAGGUGGAGCUAAUCCCAUAAAACCGAUCGUAGUCCGGAUCGCAGUCUGCAACUCGACUGCGUGAAGUCGGAAUCGCUAGUAAUCGUGAAUCAGAAUGUCACGGUGAAUACGUUCCCGGGCCUU
rnacentral:rRNA from 1 species